ACAGAACAAUAUAAUCAAACAACUGGGACAGACCAAUUUGUAACAGCCUCUACAUGUUAAUAAUGCUAUUUAUAUGCAUGUGGCAAACUAACAAUGCUAUGCUAACAAUGCUAAUGCAAUCUAAUGCACAGAGAACAGUGAAUAAAUAAACAUGAUUUGUGCUAUCUUUCUAAUAUAUUGUGUUCUUUAUACUGCAUAUUAAUCUGCAAAUAUUGCAUGCACUCUCUAGUGUUUAUCAUGUGUUUCAGUGAAGACACACUCAACAGAGGUGCUCAAAGCAGUGCACAGGCCUAGCCAACAUCAUAAAACAUCAUCAUUCUUGUUCCGCUCCUUUAAGCACCUUCUGUUGUUAGUGAUCAAUGUGAUAUUCAGGUGAGAAGUUUUGAGUCGACCCCAAAUAAUAUUCCAUAUUUAUGCCAAUUCCAGUAAUCUAUGCUAUGUGUUUUGUCCACUUGAGGGAACUGCUGGGCAAAAUCCGCCAGCUUGGAGGAAUUUCGGCAGCAUGUUGAUUUUGUUAUCCUGAGUCCACCUCUUCGGAAGGCCAUCUAAAAAGAGCCAUUGUGCCCAGGUUGUGUGCUAUGCAGGAUAGGGUGGUCUCUAGUUUCAUUGACAUUUGCUCAAGCCAAUCGUGCUUUCCUCCUUCCCGUCACAGGCAAGAAGGAAAAACCCAGAAAGUCCGAUAUCCGAAAUGCUCUGGAAUAUUUGAGAUCGACCGAAGGAUCUUUUCACCGAUUAUCAUCAUCAUCAUCCAUUUGGAGAUCUGAGAUCAGAUAAGGGUCAUAAAGUGAGCUUUCCACAUGCCAUGUCACAUUUUCCACGGGGUCAGUGUGUGUGGGGGAAGUCGACUCAGCACAUGAAGUCAGUCGAAGACCCAAACAAACCAUUCUCUCCGUCCUUCUCCACUUUCAUGGAUGACGUGGCUGCAGACACCGGUUUUCUUGACCUCCCUGCACUGAGCGACACACACCUCCAGUUAGAGGAAGAAGAAAAAAACGGUAAUGACACGUGUGGCGAGCCAAAGAGAUUUAAGCAUCGGCAGCUGAAGUUUGCAGCGCUUUUCUAUCUGUUAUUGCGGAGGACGGUUAGUAUUUUACUGAGCCGUCUGCAGGCUUGAAAAAACAUGAGAUUAAAGGGACCCGUGUCUGUAGCUCCUUCUGAAUGUUUAGACUGUAAGAUGCCAGACUGCUUCUUACUGUAAUAGAAGGGAUCUUCACUCAAUUGUAGAGUCUAGAUGAGAUAAACGAUAAAAGUUGGCAGGCUUUUGCUGAAUAAGAUCUAAAAACGCUUCGAACUAAUGAUUACAAAGAGCUUUUUCCUCAUGAAGAUGUUUAUGUUAUGGGAUAAAUAUAGAAAAUAUAUAAUUGUGAUUUUUUUUUUUUAUCUCAUCAUUCAGAUUUUUUUCUUUCAAUUUGAAUGGAUGAACAUUUCUCGCAUUUCUGAUUUUAUAGUGUUUUUCUUGAUAUUUUGGCUAUAUCAUGCAAGUAGCUUCAUUUGAAAUAUGUGCCCAGGGCUACAUUUUUAAGAACAGACAAAUAUGUACCCUGGAUUACAUUUUCUUGCAGUUUUUGCUUUUUGCAAAUCCACUAGAGGGCGCCGUGUACAUUUUCGACAAUCUCUAAUAUGUAAAUACACAUAUUUCUCGAUUCUCAAAAAUGUACUCCAGGGUACAUUUUCCCAAUGAGUCUUACUGUAAUGAAAGGAAGCCCCAGACAAUUAUAGCAUCUAGAUGAGAAAAAUAUUAAAAGUUGACGAAAGAUAAAAGUAUGCUGAAUAAGAUCUAUAAAUGCUACCGAACUAAUGAUUACAAAGAGCUUUUUUCUCAUUAAGUUGUUUCAAUUAUGGGAAAAAAGUAAUUGUGACUUUUUAUCUCAUAAUUCAGAAUUUUUUCUUUCAAUUUGAAUGGAUAAAGAUUUCCCGCAUUUGCGAUUAUAAGCUUUUUUGUGGGGGAAUUUUGACUAUUUCUUGCAAGCAACUUCAUUGGAAAUAUGUGCCCAGUUCUACAUUUUUGAGAACUGACAAAUAUGUACCCUGGACGACUCUUUCUUUAUAAGUAAAUGCAAAUAUUUCUCACUUUUAUUAUUCUAGGUUGUUUAUGUUAUGGGAUAAAUAAAUAAAAAUGUAAUCGUGA